rnacentral:rRNA from 1 species
UGGGGAAUAUUGCACAAUGGGCGCAAGCCUGAUGCAGCCAUGCCGCGUGUGUGAAGAAGGCCUUCGGGUUGUAAAGCACUUUCAGCGAGGAGGAAGGUGGUGAACUUAAUACGUUCAUCAAUUGACGUUACUCGCAGAAGAAGCACCGGCUAACUCCGUGCCAGCAGCCGCGGUAAUACGGAGGGUGCAAGCGUUAAUCGGAAUUACUGGGCGUAAAGCGCAGCAGGCGGUUUGUUAAGUCAGAUGUGAAAUCCCCGAGCUCAACCUGGGAACUGCAUUUGAAACUGGCAAGCUAGAGUCUCGUAGAGGGGGGUAGAAUUCCAGGUGUAGCGGUGAAAUGCGUAGAGAUCUGGAGGAAUACCGGUGGCGAAGGCGGCCCCCUGGACGAAGACUGACGCUCAGGUGCGAAAGCGUGGGGCAGCAAACAGGAUUAGAUACCCUGGUAGUCCACGCUGUAAAACGAUGUCGA